AAAUGAUGAUCAUGAUGAUGAUGGUGAUGAUGAUGUGGCAACAUCAACAGCAGCAACAACAACCAAA
rnacentral:miRNA from 1 species